rnacentral:lncRNA from 12 species
GCACCUCAAGGAAAAGCAGAAAGUUGAAGAAGAGCAUAUUUUAUUCUUUGCAAGAGGAUUUUAAAACAUAGGUGAUCGGUUAUCAC